rnacentral:rRNA from 1 species
CAGCAGCCGCGGUAAUACGUAGGGUGCGAGCGUUAAUCGGAAUUACUGGGCGUAAAGCGUGCGCAGGCGGUUAUAUAAGUCAGAUGUGAAAUCCCCGGGCUCAACCUGGGAACUGCAUUUGAGGCCGUAUGGCUAGAGUGUGUCAGAGGGGGGUAGAAUUCCACGUGUAGCAGUGAAAUGCGUAGAUAUGUGGAGGAAUACCGAUGGCGAAGGCAGCCCCCUGGGAUAACACUGACGCUCAUGCACGAAAGCGUGGGGAGCAAACAGGAUUAGAUACCCGCGUAGUCCCUGUCUCUUAUAC